GUAUGGGUGAAACAGGAUGUAAGAUACACAGUAUGUGAUAAGAAUAGUUUGCAACAAAUAACAUUGUUCAUGUGUUCCUUAUUAAUAUAUUCAAAAAGUGUUCAAUUUACUCGAUAAACGACACGAUUCUUGAGAUAAGGUUUUUACUAGCACGCUCUCGUCAGCAGCAUUGCGAUUGAUGAAGUCGAUUUGAAGGUUAGCUCGAUACGUGACGUGACGUCGUAAAGCAGCAGCACAAGAAAGCUGGUGUGUAUAUACGGUGGAACGUAAAGGGCUGACGUUCGUGGACGAACGAAAGCGUGCAAUGAAACUGGCCGCCUACUCUCUUCGUAAGUAACGCGAAAUGUGCCGUAAAACUGGCGAAAUGACGAAAACACGGCAACCAAUUCGACUAGCAACGAUUCCUUACAAUCGCUUCUACACUUUUUUGCAUUAGCCCUGAUUUAUGCUAAAUUACCUAAUUUGUAAUAUUUCGGGGCAUUAUUCAGACUUCAUUUUAUUGUAAUAGACUUUGUGGUACGUCCGAUUUCUUAUUUACAAUACGAUUCGAUUACUUUGUCUAAUUUUUAAAAGUCCUAACCUUAGAUGAUCUCAACUUUCUUCUUUAGUUAUUUGUUCUUAUUUUCCCGAUUUUUCAAGAUUUGUUCAUAUCUACGGUUUCAUUACUUUUCUAUGACUUAAAUCGCAACGAAAUUUUCACUAGAUACAUUGCGUUGACAACUAAGCGAUUGCUAAGUGAAGCAUUACCACCUAAUGACAAAAUCCGCAAUCACUUUGUUGCCAACUUAAUAGAACCCAUGGCAAUUCUGUGAGAUGAGGUAAUUAUCAAAAGAUCAUAUAUACAUAUGUAUUCUGUUGUUAAAGAAGAUUCCUGUAGUAUAAAAUAGUGAUUCUAGAGAAAUUCCAAUAGUUCCAUCUAUUUCUGUUUCUUAUGAAAUAAGUUGUAAAGAAAUUCUUACCGUUGAAUCUAUGUCGCUUUUAUAACCUGAGGUUAUCUAGAAAAUUAUAUUCUGUUACCAAACAAGUUCCUUUUAAUAAAAAGCGGUGAUUGCAGAAAAAUUCCAAUAAUUCUACCUAUUCAAGCAUCCUCUGUUAUUAGAGGAGGAAAAAAGUGAAUACAUAUACAUACAUGACGAGCGUGUUGGCCAAUCCUGCUAUUGAUUACAAGAGAGAAGAAAUCGAGUGGUGUAUGAUAAAUCGGGAGAGCUGACAGCCCUGUGACGCUUGUUUCUUCUCUCUUUCUCCCUUUUCUGUUGGCCUUUUUCUCCUGCUUUUCUCAUGAAGAAGGGUGGUGGUCCACACCGGGCGUCCCCAUAGAGAUUCCAUGGACCCCCGGAACGCAUUAUGGAAGCAUCGAGGGAAAAAGCACAGCUAUUGUGCUCUGUUGGCCAACCAAAAAACUUCACCAACCAAAAUCUCUCGAAACCCCCUCCCCCCCCAUUCUGCUCCGCCCAUCUCGUUAUUUUGGUUGAGAAGCUGCCUCUCCUCUGGAAUUGCGUUAUAUCCGUUGGAUAUAUUUGACGAACGCAGAUUGAUAGAUUGUGGGACAAAUUUUUCUUAUCAAUUGCUGAGUAUAGAAUCACAUUUCCUGUGUUUUUCCAAAGACAACAUAAUGCAGAUAUACACCAGAAAGAGUUUCACUAAAAACAAAUCCAUUUGUCGUUGAAUUAAUUAUACAGGGUGUCAAGUAACAUAUCGAACAUUCUUGCAAGGAUCCUGCUUUUCCUUCACACGUUUCACAAAAAAAGCUGGGACUGAAAGAAUGUCAAGUGGAACUCAACAAAGGAGCUUCUGAGCUACUUUACAUAAAAACACAAUGUGCUUGAAAAUACCAGUCGCUGGAGAGAAUUCAGUAAAAUAAGUAGAAAGAUAAAAAGAUAUGUAAUGUUUUUCGAAUGGUAUCAGGUGGGAUAACGUUGUAUCGAUAACGUCGAUGGUAGUCACGGUUCCUUAAUCUAAAACCUUUGGCCGGAGAUCGUUAGAUUCUAUUGCCGCGUGGAAAUCGCGGAUAAGGAACGCGGGACCGGAAGCUCGUGGCGGCGAAGGGUAAAGGGGCGAGCGCGGCGAGGGCAGCUCAACGUUUCGUUUGCAUGUCCCGGUGUAAUAAGCGUCACCCCCAGUGACUUCUCGGCUGGCGUUAUUAAUUCGAUUAUAAUGAGCUAUUAAGCGAAACGCUGGUAAUCCUGACAAGCUCCAUUCAACGGGCUAGGCUUAGCUGCUCGAACCCAGCGAUUGCCUGCAACCCUGUUCGCUGUUAAGCAAAUUAUCAGAGAGGGGAACGCCUCGAGCCUCCUACUACCUUCUUAUCGCAUUUUUACGACACCUUGAUUUCAAUUUUUAAAUCGUUUCCGCAAUGUCUCCGUUCAGGGUAAAGUAAUUCCUCGAAGACGGAUUUAGGAUGUUAAGGAUGGCUGACAGGAUCGUUUUUCUGCAUAAUAAAUAAUUGAAAGACUUUUUUCGUGAAUUGAGUAAAUUGCGUUUGAAGUAUUAAUUAAUCCGCGUUUUUAAUAUUAGAUACCUUUCAAUUGAUAAGUGUAAUAAUUCUUAAAGAUGUUCUUUUUAUGUUUAUAAAAUGAA
rnacentral:lncRNA from 1 species